rnacentral:misc_RNA from 1 species
AGAGGAGAAAUGGUUGAAUUCGUUUAACUCUUAUUUUUAUCAUCAGUUUCUUUCUGGGAUUUGGGUGGAUUGCUGCAAAAGGCACAUUCAUGGUUGUAGCUUACUAGAAGUAACUAAAGCGGAGAACAAGCCNNNNNNNUAUAAUAAAAAAAAAAAAAAAGAAAAAGUGCUAAAUUAGCAUCAUAUAUCUUGAACUUGGG